ensembl:lncRNA
UAACUUACAAGAAGCUGAGUUUGUGAGGCGCUGUCAAAAACUGUCAUUGGAGCUUUUAUAUAUUGUUCAUCCAAAGCAUCACUGAAAUAUACUUGUGUUUAUUUAAAAUAAAAAUUCUGAAUUCUGAUCUAUUUUCUAUUAUUGUUAUAUUUUUCAAUGAAACUAAUGCAGGUGUUUCAUCGAAUUAGGGCUGUCAACGAAUAUUCUAAAUUCAAAUAUAUAUUCGAAUAGUUUUAAAAAAACGUAUUUCGAAGGUGAAAAUUAAUAUUCGAAUAAAAAAAAAUGUGGAAAAAAACGCCCGCGAUAGUAGAGGUGUGGCUGAGGGUUCAGGGACAGGUCACAGGAGUCGCACUGUCUGGCACAGCAUCACUGCUGAUGCGUCUUGCAUGGAAGAUGGCAGAAAGUGCAGAGCCCAACUCAACCGCAGCAGAGAAAGCGAUUUUAACCCCCCAAAAUCUAAAAAGCCAUGUCUGGAAGUACUUUGGAUUUUGGUCGGUAGGACGUCAACCCGCUGAGAAAACUGCGUUAUCUGCUAUGGGCUGUCUCUUCGGAGACACGUAAUGCACGGACAGCCCAGACCAGGACAUCAGUCUGCUGCUUCAAAAAGAGAUGUUGAUGUAUGAACAAGAGUCUCCAAUACCUGCUCAACAAAAUCCUCUCAUGUGGUGGAAAACUUUGGGCUCUGGGAGAUACCCUCACGUCACCCAGAUGGCAAAGAAAUAUCUUUCCAUCCCUGGAUCCUCAGUGCGCUCUGAACACGUCUUUUCCUCUGCUGGGAAUAUAGUAAAUAAAAAGAGAUCAGCACUGGCCCCUUCA